CCUGUCUGAAGAAACUCAUAUCUCAGUAUCAAUUUGUUUAGAUCACCACUCUAUUAGUCAGACACAGCAAAAGAUUUUACAGAGCAUAUAUACAAAUAAUUGCAACAUAACUUCGGAGUAAGCAAGAAAAAGGGAGUAGAAGCUCGUUACAUAGCAAACAGAAUGACGAGGCGCCCAUGCCCAUUUCUCAAGAACAGCAGGGUGAGGAUGAGACGAUAACAUCAACACAGCUUCUUCCAUGAGAAACUUCUCCGCCACAACCAAUUGCACCAUGACGCAGACAGCCUUGAAACAUUGGGCUGCAAUAUCAUUAUCCAACGUGUUACUACAAAAGACUUCAAUGUAUUCAAAAAGUUUAGGAUUACAUUUGGCACUGUGAGCUGUUCGAUGACUGUGCUGUUAUAAUCUUGAAAAAGGAUCUGCCUGGCUCCUCGCUUCAAG